GGGUAAUGAAAGAAGAUUGACGGGUCGUCAUGAAACUGCAGAUAGCCUCACAUUUUCUUGGGUAAAGAUAUUGGCCGGAGCGGUGUUUGGUUCAAAAUAAUGUGAUAUUGGCUGCUAUUCAUGGUGGUCCGCACUUGGUGAACAACCCAAAAAUGAGCCCUUCGCUGAUGAUAUUCCACAGUUUGAGGUCCCUAUUGCUGUGAUCCAUCCUGUUCCAAGUCCAGUAAGAAAUGAAAGUAUUUUUAUUUCUCUUGAUGUGGGCUCAUCUGUUCUGCAUUUUUCAGCUAAGACACAUCAUUCAUUCCCCUUCUUACAAUUAGGAUACAAAGAUACUCCAAAUAGUUAACAUAUUUGCAUUUUACAUCAUCCUAUACUUCAAUUUCAAGUGUAAAUAUGAAACUCAUGGCAUUUCAAUGUUGCAAGUGGUACAAUAGACCAGUCGGUGCCGUGUGUGAGGUUCCAAAGGGAGCCACAGGGGUUGUUUAAUGACUGAUGCUAUGCAUUUCAGCAGUUGGCAGUUUCUUUCCAACUGGCAACCAAUCACGUCCAGAAAGCACUUAAAUUUUUAAUUGAUUGUUUUGUUUGCUUCUCCAACUGGAAAUUGGCACUGUUUAUGGUCUUCAAUCAUUAUAUAGCCCAUGUUGCAUGAGAAUGCCAUUAACACUUAAAGAAAGAAGGCAAAUGGAAUGCUUCAGUUUUGUCUGCUUCA